rnacentral:tRNA from 1 species
GCGAAAGUAGCUCAUCUGGUAGAGCGUCGCCUUGCCAAGGCGAAGGUAGCGGGUUCGAGCCCCGUCUUUCGCUCCA